rnacentral:rRNA from 1 species
GACGAACGCUGGCGGCGUGCUUAACACAUGCAAGUCGAACGGAAAGGCCCUGCUUUUGUGGGGUGCUCGAGUGGCGAACGGGUGAGUAACACGUGAGUAACCUGCCCUUGACUUUGGGAUAACUUCAGGAAACUGGGGCUAAUACCGGAUAGGAGCUCCUGCUGCAUGGUGGGGGUUGGAAAGUUUCGGCGUUUGGGGAUGGACUCGCGGCUUAUCAGCUUGUUGGUGGGGUAGUGGCUUACCAAGGCUUUGACGGGUAGCCGGCCUGGGAGGGUGACCGGCCACAUUGGGACUGAGAUACGGCCCAGACUCCUACGGGAGGCAGCAGUGGGGAAUAUUGCGCAAUGGGCGGAAGCCUGAUGCAGCAACGCCGCGUGCGGGAUGACGGCCUUCGGGUUGUAAACCGCUUUCGCCGGUGACGAAGCGUGAGUGACGGUAAUGGGUAAAGAAGCACCGGCUAACUACGUG